CUCAACCUUGGAAGGGAUCUUGUGCUCGUGAGAAAGGAUUUGGAUCUGAGUCACCCUGCUCGGCCUGUCCAGCUUCAAAACGAGCUCCUGAGGAAACUUGCACAUCUUCUGAGAGUGCCACCCCCUCGGCUGAGC
rnacentral:tRNA from 1 species